rnacentral:rRNA from 1 species
CCUACGGGGGGCUGCAGUGGGGAAUAUUGGACAAUGGGCGAAAGCCUGAUCCAGCCAUGCCGCGUGUGUGAAGAAGGCCUUCGGGUUGUAAAGCACUUUCAGUGGGGAAGAAAGCCUUGGGGCUAAUACCCUCGAGGAAGGACAUCACCCACAGAAGAAGCACCGGCUAACUCCGUGCCAGCAGCCGCGGUAAUACGGAGGGUGCGAGCGUUAAUCGGAAUUACUGGGCGUAAAGCGCGCGUAGGCGGUCUGAUAAGCCGGUUGUGAAAGCCCCGGGCUCAACCUGGGAACGGCAUCCGGAACUGUCAGGCUAGAGUGCAGGAGAGGAAGGUAGAAUUCCCGGUGUAGCGGUGAAAUGCGUAGAGAUCGGGAGGAAUACCAGUGGCGAAGGCGGCCUCCUGGACUGACACUGACGCUGAGGUGCGAAAGCGUGGGUAGCAAACAGGAUUAGAUACCCGGGUAGUC